AACGAACGCUGGCGGCAUGCCUAACACAUGCAAGUCGAACGAGACCUUCGGGUCUAGUGGCGCACGGGUGCGUAACGCGUGGGAACCUGCCCUUAGGUUCGGAAUAACUCCCCGAAAGGGGUGCUAAUACCGGAUAAUGUCUUCGGACCAAAGAUUUAUCGCCAUUGGAUGGGCCCGCGUUGGAUUAGCUAGUUGGUAGGGUAAAAGCCUACCACGGCGACAAUCCAUAGCUGGUCUGAGAGGAUGAUCAGCCACACUGGGACUGAGACGCGGCCCAGACUCCUACGGGAGGCAGCAGUGGGGAAUAUUGGACAAUGGGCGAAAGCCUGAUGCAGCAAUGCCGCGUGAGUGAUGAAGGCCUUAGGGUUGUAAAGCUCUUUUACCCGGGAUGAUAAUGACGGUACCGGGAGAAUAAGCUCCGGCUAACUCCGUG
rnacentral:rRNA from 1 species